GGGGAUUUAGCUCAGUGGUAGAGCGCUUGCCUAGCAAGCGCAAGGCCCUGGGUUCAGUUCCCAGCUCCG
rfam:Rattus norvegicus chromosome 2, whole genome shotgun sequence.